UGGGGUGGGGUGACUGCGUACCUUUUGUAUAAUGGGUCAGCGACUUAUAUUCUGUAGCAAGGUUAACCGUAUAGGGGAGCCGUAGGGAAACCGAGUCUUAACUGGGCGAAUAAGUUGCAGGGUAUAGACCCGAAACCCGGUGAUCUAGCCAUGGGCAGGUUGAAGGUUGGGUAACACUAACUGGAGGACCGAACCGACUAAUGUUGAAAAAUUAGCGGAUGAC
rnacentral:rRNA from 1 species